rnacentral:rRNA from 1 species
CCUACGGGAGGCAGCAGUGAGGAAUAUUGGUCAAUGGACGCAAGCCUGAACCAGCCAAGCCGCGUGCAGGAUGACUGCUCUAUGAGUUGUAAACUGCUUUUGUACGAGAGUAAACGCAGACACGCGUACCUGUUUGAAAGUACCGUACGAAUAAGGAUCGGCUAACUCCGUGCCAGCAGCCGCGGUAAUACGGAGGAUUCAAGCGUUAUCCGGAUUUAUUGGGUUUAAAGGGUGCGUAGGCGGGUUGAUAAGUCAGUGGUGAAAGUUUGCGGCUCAACCUUAGAAUUGCCAUUGAUACUGUUCGGCUUGAGAACAGUUGCGGUAGGCGGAAUGUGUGGUGUAGCGGUGAAAUGCUUAGAGAUCAUGCAGAACCCCGAUUGCGAAGGCAGCCUACCAAGCUGCUUCUGACGUUGAUGCUCGAAAGUGUGGGGAGCAAACAGGAUUAGAUACCCGUGUAGUC